AUGAAAAUCAAGGUUAUAUGGAACAGGGGAAGGCGAGAAAUCGAGGUGACCAUCGAGGUGGACGAGGCGGGCACGAUCCACGCCGAGGCGAUGGACAAGGCCUCCGGCAAGACGGCCAAGACCAGCUAUGGUUCUCAUCAUCGUCGGUUUAGUCAGGAAGAGUUCGACGCUAUGAUGCGUGAAAUGGACGAGUUCGCUAGGGACGGCAAAGCUAGGUUGGAGGCCUACGUGCACAGCAUCAAGGAGACCCUUGUCGCUACUGGUGACAUGGAGCUGGAGGAGAAGAAGAGGGGGGAGGUGGAGGGUGAGGUGAUGGCGGGCGUGUGCGACCCGGUCAUCUCGGCCAUGCAGACAAGGUUGGGAGAUGGCCUCGAUGACUACGAGGAUGAGCUUUAG
rnacentral:rRNA from 1 species